AGGCAUUACUAUUUCUGCCUUGUUCCUUUGGAUGGCUUCGUCUGGAGGAAGCCAGGGGUCUUGCCAUGAAGGACAUUCAAGCAGUUCUGAGGAGAGGCCCAAGUGAAGAGGAACCAGUUGCCAGCACCACCCUGUCAGCUAUGUUAGGCCCCUGCCUAUAUAAACAAUUUGAUUAAAAACAUAUUUAAAAAUUCAUCAGUACAUGUGAGAUAUGAUGAUUUAUCAUUGAAGAUUUAGGAUGAUGAGCAGAGAAAGGCAAUCUGUUUUGUCUAUUGUCCAAUCAGUGCAUGUGAAGAUUCGUUACAGUAUCCAGUUAACACUGAAUCACUAAGGCUUUAUCCAGGAAUAGUACUCAAAGUGCUCAGAUGUUCCUUUAAAUUCAUUUACCUGGGUAACUGCUGAAAGAGAGGCGACUACUGCUGGUGUCUUUAUCUAUGAUGUUGAAGUCCCAGUGUUUAUAUAUCCUGAGCAUGGCUGCAUACGUGUACCAGCUUGAGUGAGCAAAAAGGAUGUUCUCAAAUCCAGGAAGAACCUACAGCCAGAAUCAUAGUGGAUUACACAGAUGUACAUAGCUAACUGACUGCAAUUGUCUUAAGUGUAAGAGGCAUACAGGGAUUGUGCCAUUUCAGGGUUAUGAUUCUUCUUUCACAGCUUCUUCUGUGCUGUAUCUAGAACAAAAGCAUACGUGUGAUAGUGACCUAACUGUGAUACGAGACCUAAACAUGUCAAGGAGAGACUAUCCAAAUGCAUUUUGUGUAAAACCACAAUGUUUCACAAAGUCAAUAAAGAAGGACCAGGAAACAAAGUUUAAUAAUGAAGAUAAGUGGGCACUUCCUUCAGACUUGGUUCUGGAAUUUAUCUUGUGUACAUUAUGCAAACAAGUUGAUAAAGGGAGAGCACAAGAAAAUGUUCAAGUUGGGACUGGGCACGAUGGCUCACACCUGUAAUCCCAGCGCUUCGGGAGGCCAGGGCAGGCGAUGCACUUGAGGCCAGGAGUUUGAGACCAACCUGGGCAACAUGGUGAACCUCAUCUCUACAAAAAAUACAAAAAUCAACCAGGCAUGGUGGUGCAUGCCUGUAUCCCAGUUACUCGGGAGGCUGAGGCAUGAGAAUCACUUGAACCUGGGAGGCGGAGGUUGCACGGAGCCAAGAUCGCGCCUUUGCACUCCAGCUUGGGCAACAGAGCAAGACUCUGUCUCAAAAAAACAACAAAAAAAAAUUACUUCAAAGCACAUGGAUUAUCAUCUUCAAUCCUGCCUGCCUUAUCAAGACAUGAUAACUUUUUAGAGAAAAACAACUUCAGUGGCCACUCAAUUAUACAGCACUUACUGCAUGUCAGGCACAGUGUUUCUCACAACAGCCCCAUGAGAUGGAGACACUUAUAAUACCCAUCUUCCAGUUGAGGAAACCAAAGUACAUAUAGAGAAAAUAACUGACUAAAGGUCACAUGGCAAGUGUUGGAGUCAGGAUUCAAACACAGGCAUUAGGGUUCCAAAGGAUUUCCUCUUGCUGGAAUUCUGUGUUACCUCUCUAAUACUAUACUUCCAAGAAUGAAGGACUUCCGUGUAAAGAAUGAACAUACUGAGCAACUGUGAGGCCUUAUGUCGAAUGAAUUUGGAAAUAAGAAUGUCCUCAGAGACCAGGUGCAGUGGCGGUCGCCUGAACCCCAGGGCUUUGGGAAAUGAACCUGUGGGAGGAUCACUUGCGAGCAAGAGUUUGAGAUCAAUCUGGGUAACAUAGUGAGACUCUAUCUCUACAAAUAAUUUUUUUUUUAAUUAGCCAAGUGUGGUGGUGUGCACCUGUAGUCCCAUCUACUCUGAGGCUGCAAUGAGCUAUGAUCGUACCACUGUACUCCAGCCUGGGUGACAGAGCAAGGCCCUAUCUCCAAAUAAAUGAAUAAAUAAAUAAAUAAGAAUGUCUGCAGAGUUAAAGGAGCAACUGAAAUUGACCCCAGUCAUAGGUCUGCCAAAUCAGCUUAUGGAGACUGAAUGUUCCAGGAUAUUAAACUUUUUGACAACCAGAUAAAGGUAUUAACUGUUAUUCUCAAGUGGACACUGGUAAGCCAUGGCAAUGUGGAAAAGGCAGUGUCCCAAAAUCAGGGACCAGCAAUGCUAGGCAAGCACCAUGCAGUGGAGGGGCACUCUCUCGGCUGACUCAAGUGUAUGAUGCCUACCAGGAGACAGACAAAUCAGGCCUCCAGCCUGACAAUCUGUGAUGUUAUCUACCCCCAUGUGGUUUGAUUACAGUGAGAAAGUGCCUAGAGCAGACCUCACAAAUAUCCAGUCUGCCUGACAGUUAUAUUUCUAACUAAAAAUUAAUGCUAAGUCUGAUGAAUAGACUUGGGUGUAUAUCAGGGUGAAUCAGCUUUCUUAGCUGUGAUCAGAUAUGGAGCAGUAGAAAGACUGAAUUUCUGGAGUCUAGCCCUGCAAGGCCGAGGGCCAGAUUCUGAACCAGUUUUACCAAUAUACAUACCAUAUUAUGAGUCUCUCAGCAGCCAACCCUAAAAGAAUGUCUGCAGAGUUAAAGGAUCAACUGAAACUGACUCCAAUCAUAGGUCUGCCAAAUCACCUUAUGGAGACUGAAUGACUUCCAAGAUGUUAAACUUUUUCAGAACCAGAUAAAGGUAUGAUUUAUUUCUCUAGUGACCACCUGACUUCUCCAUACAUACCACUUAGAAAAAAUUAUAUAAGGACCUUCUAAAAUCAAUUAUGGGGCUUUUGGUCUGGAAAGAUAAACACAACACCAUAUGUCUGAAAUCAUAGCUUGAAAGAUUUGGCUAGAAUGACUGUGCAAUUAUUUGUCAACUUCUGGAAUAAUAAAACUAUGAAGUAACCUUUACAAAUUGAAGAAUAUGCAAGAAUUAACUAAAAGUGUCCGGGCAUGGUAGCUCACACCUGUAAUCCCAGCACUUUGGGAGGCUGAGGCGGGCAGAUCACCUGAGGCCAGGAGUUCGAGACUAGUCUGUCCAACCUGUUGAAAUCCCAUCUCUACAAAAAAUAUAAAAAUUAGCCGGGCGUGGUGGUGUGUGCCUGUAAUCCCAGCUACUCAGGAGGCUGAGUCAGGAGAAUUGCUUGAACCAAAGAGGUGGAGGUUGCAGUGAGCCGAGAUCACGCCACUGUACCCAGCCUGGGGGG